rnacentral:tRNA from 1 species
UAUAUGUUGGCGCAGUGGUAGGGCACUACCCUGUUAAGGCAGGAUCCGCUGGUUCGAUCCCUGCCAUAAGAA